ensembl:lincRNA
AUGAACAGGUAAAUGGAGACACAAAUCAUGUUGUACGUAUACACUGGAAUAUCAGCAGUAAAAAAGGAGACCCUUUGGUCCAUUCAAACACACGGGUAAAUCUCAAUAUGACCAUGACAAGCGAAGAGGAGCAAGGGUCAGGUGUACUAUAUACUUUCAUUUGCAUAAAAUCCCAGGAACUACAAAGUGAUAGUAGUGUGAAAAAUCAGAGUCGUGGUUCCCUGGGGACAGGCAGCAGAAAGUAGCAUAUUCCCUGCUCCAAUAGUUUAAAAGCUCAUUAGCAAAACCAGUCUAAGACAUUUAAGUAAGUUACAGAAACGCCAGGCAAAACGCAUUGGAAAAAAUCACAGACUAUGGAUUCUGUAUGCAGCAAGUGGAUGGAACUCGGUUUUGGAAAGAUCUCGGAGCUUUCCGAGAUUUCCGGUAUGACAGUUUCUCUAACUCUCAAGGAAGAUGCUGAGCCACGAGGGGGCGAUGCGUCCUUUAGCCCUCAGCCCCUUAGGUGGGAGAACUGAGGAUCUUAGCCCCCUCCCUACUGCAUCCAAACAAAACCUGAGAGCCGCGUCGCGGUGAUGGAAGAACAGGGACGAGUGUAUCAGGCGGCCACCGGGAUGACUUCAAAGGUCAGAACCAUCUCUUCUCUUCCCCAAAAACCUGUUCCGCUAAUUGGCACGCGCCCUGCGCAGGAAUCCCACUCCGAGAGCCAUGCGUCUUACACUGUUUGUGGUCUUCGGGAUGCGGUUUCCUGGGGAAGGAACCGCGGAGCCCUGGAGGAUCAGAAGUGAUCGGCGUGCGUGGCCUUACUCGCGACAGAUUGGGGCUGCGAGGCGGCGACGCGCGAGGUCCAGCGUUGCGGUCACGGUGCCAGGGAACAAGACAUGGAAGAAGAGGCAUUGCAUGCAGGAGCAGCUAUGUCAGAAGACUCGGGCAGGGGCAAGGUUUCUGUUGAGAGAAAGGAGGAACCUCAAGAGACCCAUCUACACCAUUGUGAAUGGACGGAAUAAUGUUGCACCGUGUACUUGAAAAUCCCAAAAAGGAAACUGGAAGUGGUCUCGCCCUUGAAGACUUGAGUGAACUCACGUGUGCGUUAAAAGGUUCCCAUCAGCCGUCCCACAGUGAAGUCAUACCUGAAAUUCAUGUUCCACAUUACAGACGGGUAACAUUCAUUUCUCACUAAAGGUACAUCAGCAAAAAUUUCUACUAAGCGAUCAAAGGCGAGAAACCUACCGAAAUCAGCAAAAUAAGAAACAGAAGACAAAACGAGCGAUACCUUUGACUUAAAAUACUGAGCAGCAGGUUGCAGGGACGUUUGGAAGUUGCACCACAGGAGAAGAAAUGGGCACAAUGACAGCACUUUCACCCACAGAAACAGAGGGCCGCGAACUCUGUGAUACUCCAGUGCCGACAAAACACACCGUCAUACAGACAGUCGGGAGACUCUUCACUGUCCUAAGGAAUUCGCCUUCUUUUCUGACGCUGCCAAAGAUGACACCCAACGCCUAAGAGGCCCCUGGAACGAGGGUGUCAGUCAAGUCACACAAGGUGCCAAGGGUCAUUGAUUGCUGGGCCUGGGCAGAGGAGACCUGGCACGAAAGGAAAUCUCGAUGCCCUGACCUCGGACAGGAGGCACGGGACAUGGGGUGCAGACGUCCCCUCGCCUGGCACACACCAUCGGAAACGUUGCACAGCCCGCCUCUUCACGAGGACGGGUUUUCAAAGCCUGUAAUCAAGAAACCAACUUGAACGGCUAUGCACGAGAAAAACCUCAGACAUCUGUCUGUUCUCCCUCCAGAAAACAGAGCGAUGGAAUUGUCGGCCUAGAAAGAAGCAAGUGAUCAAGGAGAAGAGGGGGAAAGGACGGGAGAGAAGUAGAUAGUUCAUUCUAUCAUGAAGUGAGCUUCCCGG